rnacentral:rRNA from 1 species
ACUGAUAAGAUGCGAGGGCUUCACCGCCUAUCAAGUCUUGAUAAACUCCGAAUGCUUAAAUAUGAAUCAGAGGAGUGAGGGCAUGGGUGCUAAGGUCCAUGUCCGAGAGGGAAAUAACCCAGACCACCGGCUAAGGUCCCGAAAUAACGGCUAAGUUGAAUUAACGAAGUAGAAUUGCAAAGACAGCUAGGAUGUUGGCUUGGAAGCAGCCAUUCAUUUAAAGAGUGCGUAACAGCUCACUAGUCGAGGAGUUCUGCGUGGAUAAUAAUCGGGCAUAAGCCGUUUACCGAAGCUGUGGAAUUGGCAACAAUUGGUAGGGGAGCAUUCCAUGAGCCGCAGAAGGUUUUCCUUGAGGAAUGCUGGAGGUAAUGGAAAAGCAAAUGUAGGUAUAAGUAACGAUAAAGAGGGCGAGAACCCCUCUCGCCGAAAGACCAAGGGUUCCUGAUCAACGCUAAUCGGAUCAGGGUAAGUCGGGCCCUAAGGCGCAGCCGAACGGCGCAGCCGAUGGCAGAAACGGUUAAUAUUCCGUUACUAUGAUACGGAGUGACGAGGAGACGGAGAAGUGACACUCUCGCCUGCUGACGGAAUAGCAGGUUGAACGGAGUAGAUAAUGACAUGGUAGGCAAAUCCGCCGUGGCAGUCGAACCGGAUAGUACUGGGCGCCCCCGGGCAACCAGAUAGUAGAGGUAAUCAGGCUCCCGAGAAAAUCCCCUAAACAUAUGCGUAUCAUACCCGUACCCGAAACGGACACACGUGGUUGAGUAGAAAAUACUAAGGCGCUCGAGCGACUCACGGUUAAGGAACUAGGCAAAUUGACCCUGUAACUUCGGGACAAAGGGUCCCUCCCAGGCGGGAGGGCGCAGAGAAUAGGUCCAGGCAACUGUUUAACAAAAACACAGGGCUGUGCAAAAUUGAAAGAUGAAGUAUACAGCCUGACACCUGCCCGGUGCUGGAAGGUUAAGAGGAGAUGUCAUCGCAAGAGAAGCAUUGAAUUGAAGCCCCAGUAAACGGCGGCCGUAACUAUAACGGUCCUAAGGUAGCGAAAUUCCUUGUCGGGUAAGUUCCGACCUGCACGAAUGGUGUAAUGAUCUGGACACUGUCUCAACCGUGAACUCGGUGAAAUUGUAGUAUCGGUGAAGAUGCCGAUUACCCGCAACGGGACGGAAAGACCCCGUGAACCUUUACUGCAACUUAACAUUGAAUUUGGGUAACUGAUGUGUAGGAUAGUCCGGAGACAGAGAAAUGGAUACGCCAGUAUUCAUGGAGUCACCCUUGAAAUACGGACCUUUGGUUAUUUGAGUUCUAACCCGUGGAAAAUGGGGACACUGUUUGGUGGGUAGUUUGACUGGGGUGGUCGCCUCCAAAAGCGUAACGGAGGCUUCUAAAGGUGCCCUCACGCCGAUUGGUAACCGGCGGUAGAGUGUAAUGGCAUAAGGGCGCUUGACUGGGAGACUUACAAGUCGAUCAGGUAG